rnacentral:rRNA from 1 species
UUGGAUUAAUGCCCUAUAGUAUCUUUUUAAGGCAUCUUAUUAAGAUUAAAGUUUUCGGUAUGAGAUGAGUAUGCGUUCUAUUAGCUAGUAGGUGUGGUAACGGCACACCUAGGCUACGAUAGAUAGGGGCCCUGAGAGGGGGAUCCCCCACACUGGUACUGAGACACGGACCAGACUCCUACGGGAGGCAGCAGUAAGGAAUAUUGGUCAAUGGACGAAAGUCUGAACCAGCCAUGCCGCGUGCAGGAUGACUGCCCUAUGGGUUGUAAAC